rnacentral:rRNA from 1 species
AACGAACGCUGGCGGCAUGCCUAACACAUGCAAGUCGAACGAGACCUUCGGGUCUAGUGGCGCACGGGUGCGUAACGCGUGGGAAUCUGCCCUUGGGUUCGGAAUAACUUCGGGAAACUGAAGCUAAUACCGGAUGAUGACGUAAGUCCAAAGAUUUAUCGCCCAAGGAUGAGCCCGCGUAGGAUUAGCUAGUUGGUGAGGUAAAGGCUCACCAAGGCGACGAUCCUUAGCUGGUCUGAGAGGAUGAUCAGCCACACUGGGACUGAGACACGGCCCAGACUCCUACGGAGGC